rnacentral:lncRNA from 1 species
ACUAGAGCCAAAUCUAUCUCAAAAGUUUGGGACAAUAAUUUUUCUCCUUUCUGUCAAUACUCAAUGAGAAAUUAACACUUAGAAUAAAACUUUUCGAUGAAUAAAGGAUAGUAAUAUCCAC